UUUAAUUACAAAUGGAUCAACCUCUUCUUCCAUCCUCUUUCUCCAUCCUUUUUCCUUCCUGUGCACAUCCACCUGCACAACAAAAAAGAAUAAAAGAAAUAUAGAUAAAAUAUUUUAGUAUUAGAACAUUAAUUAUGACUAUAAUAUUUCCGAUGUAUGUAUGUGUACACUGAAAAACAACAUAUAGAAGAAGUCGUCUUCUCCCCAUCCACCACCUUCCUUGGCCUGCCAACCUACCUUUUUUUACUGGAGUGCUUCUUUUUUCCUCAUCCACCUUAUUUUUCCUCGGCCUUCCUAUCUUCUUUCGCAUUGGAUUAUUCCCUUCUCCUGCUGGCACUGCAGAACUACUCCCUUCUUCUGCUGUUUUCUUCCUUGGCUUGGGAGUCGGCUUCUCUGGGUAGACCUCAUAUAAUAUAAAGUCUGUGACUUCCACUACUGAUCGGAAUAAUCCCCGUGAUUCCCUAUGAAUGAAAUAUUGCAGUAACACAUCAAGUAAAUGUUGUCAAUGUUCUUAGGCAACCAUGUGUAGAGUUUUUAAUUU
rnacentral:lncRNA from 1 species